rnacentral:sRNA from 1 species
GGAAGGAUCAUUAUCGUACAGAAUGUGAGAGGCAUGCGAGCGCUGUCGCUGACCCAAAAGUCGUGCACGCCCGAGUGUGUUCUCUCACAUGAUCAAUCCAUCUCACCCUUUUGUGCAUCACCGCGUGGGCACCCUUCGGGAUCGUCUCGGAGGGGGCUCGCGUUUUCACACAAAACCCCCCUUUUAAAAAAAGUGUAGAAUGACCUCAUUUAUGCGCUAACCCGCAAUCAAUACAACUUUCAACAACGGAUCUCUUGGCUCUCGCAUCGAUGAAGAACGCAGCGAAAUGCGAUACGUAAUGUGAAUUGCAGAAUUCAGUGAAUCAUCGAAUCUUUGAACGCACCUUGCGCCCCUUGGUAUUCCGAGGGGCACACCCGUUUGAGUGUCGUGAAAACCUCAACCUCCUUGGUUUCUUCUGGAGACCAAAGCAGGCUUGGACUUUGGAGGCCCUUUGCUGGCACCUCUCUUUUGAAGGCCAGCUCCUCUUAAAUGAAUUAGCAGGGUCCUCUUUGCUGAUCCUCGACGUGUGAUAAGAUGUUUCCAUGUCUUGGUUUCUGGCUCUGUCACCUUUGGGACCCGCUUCUAACCGUCUUGACCUUGCAUCGAGACAACGUUCGAGCAUGUCUCCCUUUCUCGGGAAGCUCCCUCGACCCCACGAACCCCUUGACCUCAAAUCGGGUGAGACUACCCGCUGAACUUAAGCAUAUCAAUAAGCGGAGGAAAAGAAACUAACAAGGAUUCCCCUAGUAACUGCGAGUGAAGCGGGAAAAGCUCAAAUUUAAAAUCUGGUGGUCUUUGGCCGUCCGAGUUGUAAUUUAGAGAAGCGUCUUCCGCGCUGGACCGUGCACAAGUCUCCUGGAAUGGAGCGUCAUAGAGGGUGAGAAUCCCGUCUUUGGCACGGAUGCCCGGUGCUUUUGUGAUGCGCUCUCGAAG